rnacentral:rRNA from 1 species
AUUGAACGCUGGCGGCAGGCCUAACACAUGCAAGUCGAGCGGAUGAAGGGAGCUUGCUCCUGGAUUCAGCGGCGGACGGGUGAGUAAUGCCUAGGAAUCUGCCUGGUAGUGGGGGAUAACGUCCGGAAACGGGCGCUAAUACCGCAUACGUCCUGAGGGAGAAAGUGGGGGAUCUUCGGACCUCACGCUAUCAUAUGAGCCUAGGUCGGAUUAGCUAGUUGGUGGGGUAAAGGCCUACCAAGGCGACGAUCCGUAACUGGUCUGAGAGGAUGAUCAGUCACACUGGAACUGAGACACGGUACAGACUGCUACGGGAGGCAGCAGUGGGGAAUAUUGGACAAUGGGCGAAAGCCUGAUCCAGCCAUGCCGCGUGUGUGAAGAAGGUCUUCGGAUUGUAAAGCACUUUAAGUUGGGAGGAAGGGCAGUAAGUUAAUACCUUGCUGUUUUGACGGUACCAACAGAAUAAGCACCGGCUAACUUCGUG